CGAAAGUUAGAGGUUCGAAGGCGAUCAGAUACCGCCCUAGUUCUAACCAUAAACGAUGCCAACCAGCGAUCCGCCUGAGUUCCUCAAAUGACUCGGCGGGCAGCUUCCGGGAAACCAAAGUGUUUGGGUUCCGGGGGAAGUAUGGUUGCAAAGCUGAAACUUAAAGGAAUUGACGAAAGGGCACCACCAGGAGUGGAGCCUGCGGCUUAAUUUGACUCAACACGGGAAAACUUACCCGUCCCGGACACUGGAAGGAUUGACAGAUUAAGAGCUCUUUCUUGAUUCAGUGGGUGGUGGUGCAUGGCCGUUCUUAGUUGGUGGAGCGAUUUGUCUGGUUAAUUCCAAUAACGAACGAGACUCUAGCCUACUAAAUAGGCGUUCCGAUCCUUUAUGUCGGACGUUCUUCUUAGAGGGACAAGCGGCUUUUAGCCGCACGAGACAGAGCAAUAACAGGUCUGUGAUGCCCUUAGAUGCACGGGGCCGCACGCGCGCUACACUGAAGGAAUCAGCGUGUGAUUUCCCUGUCUGGUAGGACUGGGUAACCCGUUAAACCUCCUUCGUGAUAGGGAUAGGGGAUUGUAAUUCUUCCCCUUGAACGAGGAAUUCCCAGUAAGCACGAGUCAUAAGCUCGUGUUGAUUACGUCCCUGCCCUUUGUACACACCGCCCGUCGCUACUACCGAUUGAAUGAUUUAGUGAGGUCUUCGGACUGGCGCUCGUAGCGACCCUUGGCCGCGCCGACGUGCCGGAAAGAUGACCAAACUUGAUCAUU
rnacentral:rRNA from 1 species